rnacentral:rRNA from 1 species
GACGAACGCUGGCGGCGUGCCUAAUACAUGCAAGUAGAACGCUGAAGGAGGAGCUUGCUUCUCUGGAUGAGUUGCGAACGGGUGAGUAACGCGUAGGUAACCUGCCUGGUAGCGGGGGAUAACUAUUGGAAACGAUAGCUAAUACCGCAUAAGAGUAGAUGUCGCAUGACAUUUGCUUAAAAGGUGCAAUUGCAUCACUACCAGAUGGACCUGCGUUGUAUUAGCUAGUUGGUGAGGUAACGGCUCACCAAGGCAACGAUACAUAGCCGACCUGAGAGGGGGAUCGGCCACACUGGGACUGAGACACGGCCCAGACUCCUACGGGAGGCAGCAGUAGGGAAUCUUCGGCAAUGGACGGAAGUCUGACCGAGCAACGCCGCGUGAGUGAAGAAGGUUUUCGGAUCGUAAAGCUCUGUUGUAGGAGAAGAACGAGUGUGAGAGUGGAAAGUUCACACUGUGACGGUAUCUUACCAGAAAGGGACGGCUAACUACGUG